AUACGUAGGGGGCAAGCGUUAUCCGGAUUUACUGGGUGUAAAGGGUGCGUAGGUGGCAAGGCAAGUCAGAUGUGAAAGCCCGGGGCUCAACUCCGGUACUGCAUUUGAAACUGUCUAGCUAGAGUGCAGGAGAGGUAAGCGGAAUUCCUAGUGUAGCGGUGAAAUGCGUAGAUAUUAGGAGGAACACCAGUAGCGAAGGCGGCUUUCUGGACUGUAACUGACACUGAGGCACGAAAGCGUGGGGAGC
rnacentral:rRNA from 1 species